rnacentral:miRNA from 1 species
AGAAGGGAGGCUGAGCGGCCGGUCAAAGCUGUAAAAACACUGCAGCUGGGGUCUGGGGGCUUUGCGGGGAGGAGCUGGCAGGAAGCGGGAGAGAGGAGGGGCGCUGGCAUCUCUGCUGGGGCGAGGGAGACGCUGCGGAACCGGGCGGGGGCGCUGCGGCGGGUACUGACCUGGACGGAUCCCCGCCCAGUC